UCGCGGCUGCGCGAUGCGUCAGGAAUUAUUUCCCCGGGGCCUUAAGCAUUCUCGCGGGAGCUGUCCCUGCUUCGGACCGUGGUCUGUUGCACACGGCGCCCACCUACUUUGUAGGUUUCCCGGGAUUGCACGUUCCGACGGUCGUGCGGUCGUGAC
rnacentral:other from 1 species